GGAGGCUUCUGGGUGGGACGUUUCUGCACCCCUCAGAAUGGGUUGGAAGGGGAGGUGGGGGUUGGACAGAGAGAUGGGGGAGAAUAAUGUAAAGAACCGACUCUCCAAGCGGCGGCUUUGCCAUAGCAACGGGGAAACGGAUGAAUGAAUGACAUCAUAGUGGUGGGGAGGUGAGAGAGUGUGAAAUUGAUUCGGUGAAAGAGUGUGGGAGGCGGGCGUUUCGUUCGUUUGGUGGACAGGCACGUUUUCUCUCCUUCCUUCAUCCCUUGUUCCCCGUGGACGGGGUCCUCCGUAAGAUUUACGCUUACCACGCUGCACCUUGGUCUCCUCAUUCAAACGACGAGCGUAACAGAAGAUCCCACCACAAACGGACCAAGCAGCGUGGUCAGGAGGAGAGGACACGACGGAAACCCGAGAGGCAGCCCCCAAUUAUUAAUUUUUUUUGGGGGGGGGCAGAUGACGUGGGUGUCGGUGCUGAGGGGUGAGUCUGAGACCGAGGAGGAGUUCUUGGAUCCUUGAGCGAGGAGUGGUUGGCAGUGGAGAGGGACGAAAGAGCUUGGAGGGGUUGGAGUCUGGAGCAAGACAGUCGCUUUGAGGAGUGUGUGACUCUUCAGGCAUCAUGUUUUGCGGAGAUAUGCAAUGUGUCUCCAGUGCACAUCCAUUGCCUGGUGCGUUCUGUGCCAGCUCCUCGCACAUGCCGUGCGAAAGUGAGCAUCCAGCCAGGACGGGUUGUGCCGGCUCAGCACUCCAGGUCUCCAGUACGCCUCCUCGGUCCAGGAUAUCCUGCGCCAGUGCGCCUUCACAGCCUAGUGCGUCCUGUGCCAGCGUCCCGCACUUGCUGGGCUAAAGUGAGCAUCCAGCCAGGACGGGUUGUGCCAGUUCUACGCUCCAGACCUCCAGUGCGCCUCCACGGCCCAGUAUAUCCUGUGCCAGCUCCGCGCACCCGGUCUCCAGUGUGUCUCCCCAGCCCGGUACGACCUGUGCCUGCUCCACACACCCGGCCUCCAGUGCGUCUCUCCACCCUGGUACGCCCUGUGCCUGCUCCACGCACCCGUCCUCCAGUGCGUCUCUCCACCCUGGUACGCCCUGUGCCUGCUCCACGCACCCGGCCUCCAGUGCGUCUCUCCACCCUGGUACGCCCUGUGCCUGCUCCACGCACCCGGCCUCCAGUGCGUCUCUCAUUUUCUUGUUUUGUUGGUGUUCAUCUAAUAAAGUAAGAUGUACGCUUACUACGCUGC
rnacentral:lncRNA from 1 species